AUACGUAGGGUGCGAGCGUUGUCCGGAAUUACUGGGCGUAAAGAGCUCGUAGGUGGUUUGUCGCGUCGUCUGUGAAAUUCCGGGGCUUAACUCCGGGCGUGCAGGCGAUACGGGCAUAACUUGAGUACUGUAGGGGAGACUGGAAUUCCUGGUGUAGCGGUGAAAUGCGCAGAUAUCAGGAGGAACACCGGUGGCGAAGGCGGGUCUCUGGGCGGUAACUGACGCUGAGGGGCGAAGGCAUGGGUAGCGAACAGGAUUAGAUACCCUGGUAGUCCAUGCCGUAAACGGUGGGCGCUAGGUGUAGGGGUCUUCCACGACUUCUGUGCCGUAGCUAACGCAUUAAGCGCCCCGCCUGGGGAGUACGGCCGCAAGGCUAAAACUCAAAGGAAUUGACGGGG
rnacentral:rRNA from 1 species